AUAUCGGGACCCCAGCCCUGGAAACCAACCCCCAAAUUGCUCUCCCUCCUCUAAGAACAAGAUAAUUUAUCUCUCACUUUGAAUCUGUGGUCCCACUCCUUCUCUUCUCUUGUCUAGACUUCCAAGCACUGGCCUUCACCGCACCCCACCUUGUUCCCCACUCCAGCUCUCAGCCUUCAUCUUCCAAUUGUCACUUUCUCCUUCACAACUAAGAUCUGGAUUUGUGAUUAUUUCCGCUGACAGGGACAGGGAGUUGGGGGAAGUUUGGGAAAGGGAGACUGGAACACCCUGAACCUCCAAGUGGCAAACUGUGUCCUCUUUCUAUCACUCCUCAUCAACUCCACUCCCCACCCUAGACACACAUCAUUUAAUCACAAUCUCAAGUUUCAAGGCCAGUGAGAACUGGAAGGAGACUGGGAACAGGGGUGUUUCUGUCACACCCUUUUUCUUGCUUCCUUUGGGGAUGAGGAUGGCCUGGAGGAACAAUAGCUUUCCUUAGCCCCUUCUUCCUGCCUCAGGAAGAACAGCAAGAGAAAGAAAGAGAGAGCAAGCGAAAUUCCUGAAUGGAUAGACAGAUGCUACGUCAUCGGAGCUGCAUCCUCCACUCCACAAGAGGCUAGGAGCAGGGAGAAAGAGGCAGUCCAGCAGCAGGGGCCACCCGAGCAGGCUCUCCUCCUCACAGAAGCUGGGAGCUGGACAUCCAAGAAGAAGCAGCCUCGUGUUUUUCUGGUGUCAUCGUAGGUGUCCACCUUUGGCUUUUGGGCCCCUCACCUGGGUGCGGGUGGGUGCUGCACCACCCUCCUGCUCUCUUUCCUCCACACGGGCGCCAGAGUCGUAUCCAGCACCAUGGACAGCUCCCGGGCGGAAAUUCUAUGAUCUUGCUUAUUCCUGUCUUGGGAAGUCCUUCCCAAUGUCUAACCAAGAGCUGUACUACUGAAGUACCAGUUCUUUGACCCUUGGCUUCAUAUGGCUAAUUCGAGAGGCACAGCUUCCCUCUACCCCAGGGAGGAAGGAACAGACCUUGAUUUGACAGCCACUUGCUUGUACCAAAAAGAACCUACUUCACACAGUUGGCCUGGGUCUCCUCUGAGAAGCUGCCCUGAUUGACUGAAAGAUGAGGCUAAACUCUAGCAAGUUGAGCAGCUCCUCCAAGAAGCCCUUGAGCAGGAUAGAAAUGGGGAGGCCUCAGCCUCUAGCCUGGGCAGACCGUUAUACCUGGAGCCAUCUGGGAUAAGACUUUGCUUCACCAUUUCUCCCGUGUCUACAAGCUGUCCAUUCGGGACCAUCCUGGUUUCUCUUGUGUCGUCUGAGUUGAGAUUCCUAUGAGAUGGAAGUCCCGUCUCAUGUCUAAUAAAGACUCUUGAAUAUUGAACAACA